CACAGUUCUUCCCUAAGCAAAUGAGGCUUAAUCUCUCUGUUCUGAUCUCAUUUGCGCUAAAAAGCAUCUCAGCUCCUGACGCAGCUCUUACAACAAAUGCAGCCUUGGAGGUCUCCCCUGAAGAAUAACUUCAUUCCUUAAUGCUGGAGAAGAAUACGAUGAGUCCAGCAGUGAGCCACGGCAAGGCUGCGUGGCUUUCUG
rnacentral:lncRNA from 1 species